GUGACUGCGUACCUUUUGUAUAAUGGGUCAGCGACUUAUAUUCUGUAGCAAGGUUAACCGAAUAGGGGAGCCGGAGGGAAACCGAGUCUUAAUUGGGCGUUAAGUUGCAGGGUAUAGACCCGAAACCCGGUGAUCUAGCCAUGGGCAGGUUGAAGGUUGGGUAACACUAACUGGAGGACCGAACCGACUAAUGUUGAAAAAUUAGCGGAUGACCUGUGGCUGGGGGUGAAAGGCCAAUCAAACCGGGAGAUAGCUGGUUCUCCCCGAAAGCUAUUUAGGUAGCGCCUCGUGAAUUCAUCUCCGGGGGUAGAGCACUGUUUCGGCUAGGGGGCCAUCCCGGCUUACCAACCCGAUGCAAACUGCGAAUACCGGAGAAUGUUAUCACGGGAGACACACGGCGGGUGCUAACGUCCGUCGUGAAGAGGGAAACAACCCAGACCGCCAGCUAAGGUCCCAAAGUCAUGGUUAAGUGGGAAACGAUGUGGGAAGGCCCAGACAGCCAGGAUGUUGGCUUAGAAGCAGCCAUCAUUUAAAGAAAGCGUA
rnacentral:rRNA from 1 species